UUUUGGACAAUGGGGGCAACCCUGAUCCAGCAAUGCCGCGUGAGUGAAGAAGGCCUUCGGGUUGUAAAGCUCUUUUGUCAGGGAGGAAACAGCAGCUCUAACACAGUCUGCGAAUGACGGUACCUGAAGAAUAAGCACCGGCUAACUACGUGCCAGCAGCCGCGGUAAUACGUAGGGUGCGAGCGUUAAUCGGAAUUACUAGGCGUAAAGCGUGCGCAGGCGGUUAUACAAGACAGGCGUGAAAUCCCCGGGCUUAACCUGGGAAUGGCGCCUGUGACUGUAUAGCUAGAGUGUGUCAGAGGGGGGUAGAAUUCCACGUGUAGCAGUGAAAUGCGUAGAUAUGUGGAGGAAUACCAAUGGCGAAGGCAGCCCCCUGGGAUAACACUGACGCUCAUGCACGAA
rnacentral:rRNA from 1 species